GUUCACCUUCACUGCUUAUACAGGGAGAGGCAGAGUGAGGAGCACGGGAGAGAAAGAAUAGAGAGAGGAACUUUAAAGAGAGGUGAGACAGGGAGAUUAAGAGAACGUGGGACAGCAAUUGAGAGAGACAGAUAGUGAAAGGUGACAGGGGACAGAGAGAGAGAGAGAGAGAGAGAAAGAGAGAAAGAAAGAAAGAAAGAAGUGUGUCCUUCACGCUCAUUUUGAGCACCUGUGGAGUAUAACCCUUUCUUCAAAGACAAACGUGUUGGUCAGGGGUUCACCAUGGCAACCAAGACGCUGAUGACACGGGUCCAGGAAGAGCAGUCCCACCAGAUGUCCCACAGCAUGGCGCUGGCCUCGCUGAUCAAGUAGAAAACCUUCACCUCCAGGCUGCGCAGAAGGCUUCCAUCCAUUUUAAGUAUCUGGAGGACCUGAGUCAUAAGGCCCCAGACUUCCUUAUCCCGCUAAGAGCCCACAUGGUGUGGGAGGGCAUGGGGGUCAAACUCUCUUGCACCAUCCAGGGAUGCCCACCCCCUAGGGUCACCUGUAUUCAUGCCUGAGCAUACGCAGAGCUCUGGACCAGAUGACCUGCGGCUUAUGAGUUGAACAAUCCCAGACGGGACGCAUGCAUCCCAAUGAGCUUCGAGAGUCUUGACUCGACUGAGACGGAGCUCAAGAAGAAAUGAUGGGACACCUCUGGGUGCCUAUGGCCAG
ensembl:lncRNA